ACGGAAGGCAGCAGUGGGGAAUAUUGCACAAUGGGCGAAAGCCUGAUGCAGCGACGCCGCGUGAGCGAAGAAGUAUUUCGGUAUGUAAAGCUCUAUCAGCAGGGAAGAUAAUGACGGUACCUGACCAAGAAGCACCGGCUAAAUACGUGCCAGCAGCCGCGGUAAUACGUAUGGUGCAAGCGUUAUCCGGAUUUACUGGGUGUAAAGGGAGCGUAGGCGGUUUUACAAGUCUGAUGUGAAAGCCCGGGGCUCAACUCCGGUAUUGCAUUGGAAACUGUAGAACUAGAGUGUCGGAGGGGUAAGUGGAAUUCCUAGUGUAGCGGUGAAAUGCGUAGAUAUUAGGAGGAACACCAGUGGCGAAGGCGGCUUACUGGACGAUUACUGACGCUGAGGCUCGAAAGCGUGGGGAGCAAACAGGAUUAGAUACCCUGGUA
rnacentral:rRNA from 1 species